CCCAUGGCUCAGGGAGACUCGGGGCCGCCGCGCUCCCUCCUUGCGCUGCGUCCCCGUCGGAAAGCCCGCGGCCCGAGGAGCACCCAGAGCCAGGGUCCGCCGCGGGGCGUGCAGGCGGCGGAGUCCCUGGGCUCGGACCGGGCACCGCUGCCCAGAACGCCAGGCGGGGAUUAGUUCAGCUCGCAGGUGACGCCCGCAGCCGGUGCUUCCUCCAUGUUGGACAACGCCAGGCAAAACCUUUGCAGAAGACAACUCCCCAACGCCACCUCAGCGCCCCGAGCCGGGGAGAAGCAGAUCUGAGCGGUGCCAGCCGGGCGCCGCCCGCCCCUCCCACCGCGCCCCGCCUCCUCGCCCGCGCCCUCGCAGUGCGCAUGCCCCUCUCGGAACAGGUGAUGUUCGCGCCCGCGCCCAUGCCGCUCUGCGUCUCUCCGUAUCCUUCUUCAUUCUCAGCACCGAUUUAAAGGGGCCCGGCGAGAGUACAGCUGAAAACCGAGACGAAGCAGCCGACGUUUCUUUCAGGCGUAUUUCAGGUUAAGGAUGCCUUAACCUGAGUUUUAGCGGACUACAUUCAAGGAGGGGCGAGGAGGGGCUGGAGGGGAAGUGUCUGCUUCCAGCUUUGGCUCAUGGGAUUUGUAGUUUAAAUUUUAUUUUAUUUUUUUUUAGGGAGGGUUUUAAAAGAUCCUAGGAAUGGCUUCAGGUAACUGAAGAUGAACAGGAGAAACCUCUGAUACCUAUGGCACAAAUUUCCCAGAAGGAGCUAAAACUGGCACCUUUCGUUUAGAACUUUCCCAGAACAAUUAGAUUAAAACCCUACAUGUGACAUCAGUAAGCAGGAGCAAAUAUCAUCAGAAAACAGAAAAAUGGGAUAUAUGGUGUGAAGAGUAAAUGGACUGUGAAAACAAGAGAUCUGAUGGUGACACUUGGGAAGCAUUUUGGUUGUUGACUUUCUUAAAUAACUUUGCUUUUGGGACCUAUAUAACUCCCCAGUGGAUAGUUGUAUGUCAUAGCUGCACAUCCUUCUAGUUGCUGUCUGUGGGAUGCGGCCUCAGCAUGGCCAGAGUAGCGGUGCGUUGGUGCGCGCCCGGGAUCCGAAUGCGGGCCGCCAGUAGCGGAGCGUGCACACUUAACUGCUAAGCCACGGGGCCGGCCCAGGAUAGUAGAUUUUAACGUCAGAAUUACAAGACCCAAAGACAUGAAAGAGGCACUUGGGAAUUAGUGUAGACUUUUCUCUGAAGCUUCAGCCAAAGGCAUCAGCAAAAUGGUUGCCAUCAUCAGAAAUGACUUUUGAAGAAAAAGGUAAAAGACACAGAUUUACUCUGUUCAAAAUGGUAGUGUACCUGCAUGUGUAAUAUGGGGUACAAUUCUGGUCAUUGUGCAAAAUGUAUAACAGAGUUAGAGAGGCACAGCAAAUCAAAGAAAAAGAGGUCAAUCAUUUCAAUCUAGAUGAUUGAAGAGGGAAAUCAAGAAAGGUUAGAGCCUCUUACUGAAGAAUAUGAACUUGAAAUAUCCACUCAAAUCUGGUAAACUAAAACUAAAGAGCUUUUUGGAUACAUGGAAAAGACGUGCUUAAAAAAAAAAAACAACAGGAUAUAGUACGUGUAUGGAUUUGUACAUCUCAUAUUGGGAUGAAGGAUGCUAAGGCUUCACCAACAUCAGUUUUCUCCCCUUUUGGGCUGGUAGCUCGACCACAGUUGCCAACUUCUCUUACAGUUAUAUGUGGCCCUGUGACCCAGCUCCACCUAGUGAAAAUGUGCUGCUUCCAGGCCUAGCACAAAGGAAUUCUGGUGUGUACACCUUUGUGGCUGACAGGGAUGGAGACAACAGGUCCACUCCAGAGGCCCCAUGGCUUGAAGAUAGCAGAACCAUUGGGUGGGUUCCAUCAGGAGGAUUUCCUGGAUGACCAUGUGUGGAAUUCUGCUUUCCCCUACCAAGACCACUUUCCUUGGACAGUUUUGUAAAUGAGGGGUAAAAUAUAUAUUAUGUUUGAGCUAUAUUAUAUUUUUGUUUUUUGAUCUUUAUUUGUUAAAGUAGUCAAUAUUAUCUUAACUAAUACAAGGUAGCAAGAGGUACUUCUGUACAGGAGAAACUAAUGUUAAUAAAAUAUAGUCCCUCCCUAUCCAUUCCACAUCAGUGAUCCUGGUUCCAUUUGUCUUUUGAAAUAGCAGGACAGGUAAGUCUGAGUCCCUCGUGGAGCCCAGAAAAGGCCAUGCUCACCUCUUCUCCAGUUUCUGUUCUUCCUUGAUCUGGCAAGGCUGUCCCCUCAUCUCUCUCCAUUCAUGCAUUUCUCAAGGCCAAGCUCAAGGCCCAUUCAUCAUGAUGAGACCUUUUCCUGUUUUGAAGCCACUAUUAUUCUCAAUUAUUAUUUGAGAAUCUUAUUAUUAAUUUGACAUUUAUUUACAUUAUUAUUUGGUUAUUUGGUUAACUGUUUCAGGACUGAAUUCUUAGAAUGAUGCAACGAUCGUUUCAUUUUUCUUGCAGUCCUAUCAGUAUCUACUGCACAUAGUGAAUGCUCAAACCAACAGACAUUAAAUGCAUUACUUAGUGAGAAGUCUUCAGGUUAAAAAUGUGAAUAAUGCAAAAAAUACAUUAGGUUAUUUUGUAGAGGACAUCUGUAAGGGGGGAAUAAGAGCAUUGUUUCGUUGAGAUUAAGGAAUCCUCAUGUAUAAUGAUACAAUUUUUAACUCAUAAAUUUUAUAUUUAAUAUAGUACCAAGGCACUCUAUUAAGUAUUUUAUCUAUUUUUAAUCUCAAUUAAUCCUUCUGACAGUCUUGUCAUGUAACUAUUGUUUUGUCCAUUUUAUAAAUGAAAAAAUAGAGAUCCAGGAAAGUUAUUUAAAUUUCUUAAGUUAUCUAACUUUCUUACUUAACCAGUAAAUGACAAGAGAGAAUUCAAAUCUAACUCAAUCUGAAUCUUAUACCUACUGCUUUCCUCACCUAUAUUAAAAUAUCUUCCAUUUCUAAUUGGUAAAGACAGUUCCUGCCAAAGAACGUGUAGACUCAUGGGAUGGUACAUCUUGUGGCCACUUUCAUAACUCGGACUAUACAUCAAGUAGAUUGGAAGUGUAUAUAUUUUCUUUAACAAGCUAACCAAAAUGUAUAAUUGAAAAAUGACAUGUAGUAUGUUAACUGUCGAAGAAAUAUUCCAUGCAGCCAAAGAGAAGAAAAAAAUAAGGAUAUUGAAAAAAAAUGUAAUGAAAACAUUUCUCAUUAUUCUGAUUUUAUAGGAUAAUUUAAUAAAAAAUUGUCU